AAAAAGCAAGAGAGGGAAACAAGAUUCCAUUUAUUUACUGGGAAUAAAUAUUUAUUCGACAACAGAUGUUAUUCUAUUCGGAUCAUUGAUAAAUAGAGCAAUCCUUCCUUCUUAAUCUAAAGACAUACACAUUAUUAGCAGAGGAUUAAUGUCAAUGACUUUCACAUUUUUAAUGAGGAAUCAAAAGGCAUACACAUUAUUGGGAAUUUGCAAAGACAUCAUUCUUUCUUUUUCCCACCACCAGUAGCCAAUUUACAAUUUACACACAACAGAAACUUUUCCAAGCCUCCAUCAAGGUUAAAUUAUAUAUCAGGAGAAAUAUAGGCAAAAGGGAUCUUUCUUCUUCUUCUUCUUCUUCUUCUUCUUCUUUUAUUUUUAUUUUUAUUAUUAUUUUUUUUUUGGGGGGGGGGGGAAAAAUUGAAUCUUAUUAUUUAUUAAAAAAAAAAAAAGAAAAAAAAGAGAGAACCGUAAAGCAGGCUUUUGACCCUUCAGUUGAAGAAUAGUCCACCCGGCCUUGAAUGACCAUCCAAUCCAUGAUUUGGAUUCCAUCCUCCUAACUAUUUUAUCCAGAAAGUUUGCUCAUCUUUUAUCAUUCCUAAGCUGGCUUAAGCCAAUCUGUCCCCUGUUUAUGAAUUCAUGGUUGUGAGCUUGGAACUUCAGGUACCCACAUCAUUUGAAAUCAGGUUCAACAACUAAAUGUGUAUGAUACAAGUUAUCUGGUUGAUCUUUUGGCUUAGAUUUGGUUGUGGGGCCAAGCUUUCUGGUUUCUAAGAUUAUUUUCUAUUCAUUAUAUGAACUUAUUAUUCUAUCUCAGUUGAAUUUAUUGUUUUGAGUUCCUGUGAAUAAUUUCAUCAUUGUAACAUUGCGGACUGACUUUGUAUACUUGUGAUGAAUGAGAACGGGAUUUUGGAUAUUUUCAUGGGAUUUCAUCUUUGUAGUUGUGUUGCAGAUUGACUAGUGUUUGCAUGCUUGUUUUGAUGGAUGAGAAGGGGAUUUUCAAUAUUUCCUUGGGAUUUCAUCAUUGUAGCUGUGUUGCAGAUUGCCUGGUUUGCAUGCUUGUUUUGAUGGGGGGGAAGGGGUUUUGGAUAUUUCCUUGGGAUUUCAUCUUUGUAUCUCUGUUGUAGAUUGACUGCUUUAAUGUCCUUAAUUCUUGGAUGUUUAUGAAGAUUUGGUUACAUACUUUGUGUUGCUGGAUGGUUCGUUUGGAUAGAUGGGAAGGAGAAGUUAUGCUAAAAGUUGGCUUUUGUUGUUUGCUUUGGAUUUUUGUUAGAAAUGUUAUUACUGUGUGGCAGUGUUAUGUUCUGGAUGUUUCAUUGGAUUUCUUAUUUUGUUGUCCAUUAAGUGCAUUCCUUCACUAAAAGGAUGGUGCUUGAGAGAGAAAGGGGAAGAUUCAUCCAACAUUGCUCAUAUCCCUUGCAUAUUCAUUGACAGUGAUGCCAUACAAUUAAUAUUGAGCAUCAAGAUGCAUCCAGUUCUUGUUAGUUCCCAAUUUUUUCAGGGUACUUUCUAUUUCCUGCAUUAUUUCAUUGUUUAAUUUUUAAUUUUGUUUUGAUAUCAUGUAUCGUACUAUUUCAUCAUUUAAUUCUUAUUUUGUUUUAAACAUUUAUGAAAAGUCGUGCUGAAAGUGUACUCUCUCCCCCUUUUUUUUUAUUUUAUUUUUAUUUUUUAUUUUUUAUUUUUUAUAUUAUUAUAACUGGAGUUUACCUUUGGUGCACGCUUACGCAGAUAAUCUUCUGUAAACUGAGAAUUGAGGACAGGCUAUCCAAUGCCUCAACCAUGUAAGCUUAGAAGUCAGGCAGUCAGGAUGUAAAAAAAAUCAUGUUUAUUAAUACAUCAAGCAAUAAAUAUUGAUAAUUGUUUAAAUAUGUUAACGGUAAUGCUGGAAAUUCAGUUUUUGUUUUCAUGAUCUAUCAUUUUUCUGUUACGUGUACACAAGUUAUUUGGACAAACAAAUAUGCUGAUAAUGAUUUAGAACACAGUUUUUGUUUUCAUGAUCUAUCAUUUUUCUGUUACGUGUACACAAGUUAUUUGGACAAACAAAUAUGCUGAUAAUGAUUUAGAACAUAGUCCUUCCAUUCUCAUAUUUUUAGAUGCGAACAUGUUUGGAUUCUCACAUGUUCUGAAAUGAUGUUGAUUGUUAUUUUUUAUAGAAUUAAGCUUUUUGAACGUACGUAUACAGGUUGCAAAAUGUUAUACAACUUCAUAAGUUUGAUACAAGUUCUCAUAUUUUGUUAUGAGUAAAGCGUCCUAACAUUGAGUGGGUCAGUCUGAACUCUUUUGGUUGAGGUCCUGUGAACAGUUUCAUCUGUAUAGCAGCGCAGAUUGGCUGGUUUAUAUAAUUGUUGUCUUGCUGAUUCAUCAACAUUCUUGGAGGAUUUUCACCAUGCUGGAACUUUUGGAUAAUUUGUUUGGUUUUGUAUCUUUGUAAUUGUUCAGAUUUGAAUGGUUUGAUGUUUAACAUGAUCAAUGUUUCUGGGUAGCUUUUUGGAUGGACAACUUAUAUUGUUAGGAUUUUGAUGGUUCCAUUAUGUCAAGACUGUUUGGAUUUUUAAAGACAGAACUCAGAUUGAUAGCAGACAAGGCAGCCAGCCCACGUAACGGAAAACUGUUAUGGUUUCGGUUUGCAAAUGCCUUUGAACAGAGAAGUUACAGGGAUAUUUGAUUAAUUGUAGAAAAAUUUAUUCUACCAUAGCUACUCUAUCCUUGGUUCAGCAGUCAGCUUUCGACAAUCAUUCUGAUAUUUUCAAGUUGAUUUCUUGGAAAGGAGUGAUACCAUCUAUUUUCAACUGGGUUGCAACAUGGGACAAUCUCCAAAUUGGCUAACAGAAAGCUGAUAGAACUGUCACAACACAAAUGACCUGUUUUAGCAUCUUUAUUUGUUUACAUUGUUUUGCUUUCCUUCUCUCCCUUUGGUCUUGAAAAACCGAAAAAUGGUCCCUCACUACCCUUCUCUUGUCCCUCACCUUCCACAGCCUUUACUUCCUUUCUCUGUCCAUGUGUAGCAGAGUUCGUGCGCUAUCAAACAGGAAGGGGUUUGAAUUCAUAAAAGGUUUUAUGAGUAAAAAGCUUGAAUGGAGAGCAGAGUGCCAAAAAUAGCACAAAUCUGAAAUGUAUAUUUUUCUGUUGCCACUUGACUUUUAGUUGGCUCAUUCUCUUUCCUUGUCUUCUGUAUCAUCUCUGUUUCAUGAUUGGGUUAUGAGUUUGAUGGUGGUGGUUGUUCAGUACCGAUGAGGACCACACCAUUUUGAUGUUUACAAUCGUUAAAAUUUUAUGAUAUGAAGAAGUGGAAGAAGUGAUUACUUAUUGAAGGGGACAGAGGAGGAGAUGCUAGUGCUUCUUUUCUAAUCUUAAGGUGCUUUUUACUGGAAAAUUGUCUGGAAUUAACUGCACAAUUAUGCUUAGCAAAUACCAUAGAAGUAGGGUUGCAUGCCCCCAACUGGGAAUGUUUUGAGAAUUCAGAUGCAAUAAGUUGAGGUCACUGCCUGAGCACAUGCAAACCCUUCUUCCAUCUCAUCUAUCUAUGUGUCUACAUAACUGCCCAGACCUGGAGUCAUUUCCAGAAAGCCCAUUGCCUUCUAAUUUACAAGAUCUUGAAAUUUACAAAUUCAAUAAGUUGGUGGCAACCAGCAGGCACUGGGAUCUACAAACACUCACUUUUCUUUGAAUGGAAUGUGUACAUGAAAUAUUGGAAUCAUUUCUGGAGGAGGGGCUGCUGCCAACCACUCUAAUUAAGCUGUGCAUCUGUUUGCUUCUGUACCUUAAAAGCCAUCAAAUGGAAUGGCAUUUCAGCACCCCUCCUCCCUUUCAAGGUUUGAUAUUACUUACUGCAAUGCGCUGCAGUGCUUUCCAGAAGAAGUGCUGCCAACGUCUCUUUCUCAAUUGUCCAUCAUGGGCUGUCCUUUGUUGAAACUAAGGUACCAGAGAGAGACAGGGAAAGACCGGCCUAAGAUUGCCCACAUUCCUUGCAUAUCAGUCCAGGAAAAGCCGAAACCUUUGUGAGCCUUGAGCUGCAUUGAGAUGUGUUCACUUCUCGUUUACAUCUCCAAUUUUCUCUUUUGGGCUGUUGGUAUAUGGUCUGGUUAUGCUGAGCGGUGGUGGGGCUACUACAUAAAAAUCAUUUUUGUACUUAAAAUUUAGGUUAUUUGGAUGACUUAGAUUGGAAAAGGAAAAAAAUACAGGAAACAUCUAGCUUGUAAAAGAAUCAAAAUUUCAGCAUUGGACAAAAGCCCUUUUUCUCAAAAAAGAAUAGAAAAACUGAAAAAAAAAAAAAAAAGAAAAAAAAAAUUGAGCUUUAUUUUAGAGAGGCAACGGUCCAAUUACUUUGAUUCAGAGGGGACCCAUCUAUCAACUUCAUCAGCAGCGUCAGCAAAAGAAAAAGGACACGAAAUUGGCGCCAGCGCUUCAUAAUUUUCUUCUGCCUUUUUUGACCAAUGGGUCCUUUACAGUUCAUAUUGGAUUCGACAUGUACAUUUCCAAUCACUUGCCUUUUGGGUUAAAAAAAAACAGAAGAAAAACCCGUGUAAUUAUAUGCUAAAAUUUUUUAGUUUCAAUAUAUAUAUAUAUAUAUAUGCUUAAAUUUUUAAA